rnacentral:rRNA from 1 species
AUUGAACGCUGGCGGCAGGCCUAACACAUGCAAGUCGAGCGAGCGGCGGACGGGUGAGUAAUGUCUGGGAAACCGCCUGAUGGAGGGGGAUAACUAAUGGACACGGUAGCUUAUACCGCAUACCAUCAGAUGUGCCCAUAUGGGAUUAGCUAGUAGGUGGGGUAAUGGCUCACCUAGGCGACGAUCCCUAGCUGGUCUGAGAGGAUGAACAGCCACACUGGAACUGAGACACGGUCCAGACUCCUACGGGAGGCAGCAGUGGGGAAUAUUGCACAAUGGGCGCAAGCCUGAUGCAGCCAUGCCGCGUGUGUGAAGAAGGCCUUCGGGUUGUAAAGCACUUUCAGCGAGGAGGCGUUACUCGCAGAAGAAGCACCGGCUAACUCCGUGCCAGCAGCCGCGGGAAUUC